rnacentral:rRNA from 1 species
UACAGAGGGUGCAAGCGUUAAUCGGAUUUACUGGGCGUAAAGCGUGCGUAGGCGGCCAGACAAGUCGGAUGUGAAAUCCCCGAGCUUAACUUGGGAACUGCAUCCGAAACUAUCUGGCUAGAGUGUGGUAGAGGGCGGUGGAAUUCCCGGUGUAGCGGUGAAAUGCGUAGAUAUCGGGAGGAACAUCAAUGGCGAAGGCAGCUGCCUGGGCCAACACUGACGCUGAGGUACGAAAGCGUGGGGAGCAAACAGGAUUAGAAACCCCCGUAGUCC